rnacentral:rRNA from 1 species
AACUUUCAGCAGUGGAUGUCUAGGCUCGCACAUCGAUGAAGAACGCUGCGAAUUGCGAUACGUAAUGCGAAUUGCGAUACGUAAUGCGAAUUGCUAAAUUCAGUGAGUCAUCGAAAUUUUGAACGCAUAUUGCACUUCCGGGGCUAGUCCUCAGAAGUAUGCCUCUAUCAGUGUCC